UUGUGCGUAUGUGCCACAGCCCUGUGUUUGCCAACAUCUUCACUCACAGGCAAUACAGAGAUUGAUGUGGAUAAUGGAAA